AUGUCGUCUCCUUAUACCGACACGAAGACGUUUAAAAAAAUAUGGAUUAAAAAUCAAGCACCACAAGUGGGUGAGUGAAAGACAAAAUUAGAAUUUGGAAAGAAAGUAUGCAUAAAAUGACAAUUUCAGUUGUAUAACAUCUGGAAGAGAAUAUUUUUUUAACAAGAAAAGUAUAAGACCAAAAAUCUCGUUUUCUCUCUCUCUCUCUCUCUCGUUCUUUCUUUUUAUAGCAAAAUUUGUCGCGGCAGCAGUACAUCCUAAGAAAAUCCUUAUUGAGAGAUGAAAAAAAAAAAUGAAAGAAUUUACAGAAACCCACCCAGAAAACGGAGUUUGGAAGCUGGCAUUUUCUCCGUGACACAUGCCUAUCACAAAAUCAACGACGACGAAAGUUGUAAGGAGUUUUGAACUUUCAAUAAAUUUUAAUGAAUAAAGUCGUGUGAAACGGAGGAACAGACAUGUAAACAAUUUAAAAUGGAAAAAUCUGAAAUCAAUUUUUUUCUUUUCGAAAAAAUACAAGACCAUCACUUACAAAAAAAAACUACGUCAUAAAAAAUUGUAUUUACUCAAUUGUUUAAAAUACUAUACAACAAACCAAUCCAAAAUAUUUUAUUUAAAACUAACAUGCAUUUGAACAUUAUUAAAGAAUUAUUUUUACAAAAGCUAAAUGACAUAAUAGUAAAUAGUAAUGAAAACCUAAAACAAUUAUUUCAAGUUUCAUUGAAAACAAUGGAUUUUUUUCUUUUUUGUAGAGAAAAUUCAAGAAUGAAAGUUUGAGAUACUCAGAAAAGUCUGUUAAACAAAUUACAAUUAUCAUAUCGCCUGCGUUACGAACUCGUAGAGAUGCGAGUCUACCGUACAGUGAUGGGUCCCACAACGUUUAUUCCCUCGUUUUACACCGACCCAUGUGUUUUUUUUGUUGUUUUUUCACAACUUGUUGCAUGUGGUACCAUCUCUCGAAUGAUUAAACUCGACGCUGUGGUUCACUAUUCUAUAUUGAAAAUUAUAACCAGUUUCUGGAAUGUGAAAGUAGGCCCGCCACAUGUUACUAAAAAUUGUGGUUUCUGGAAGAACCGACUGACGUAUGCAUUCCUCUUGUGUGUCGCGAUUCCGACAUGGCACCACACAAAGAAAAUCAUGUCUAGUCCCGCGACACCCUCCUCUUCAAACAAACUGCUCAGGUAGCAAGCACCCUUCCUCAGUUGUAUUUGCGUCUUGAGAAGACUGUUUCGUCUAUCUGAAUUGGGUUGCGGAGCAGGUCGUCGUGCAUUUUACGAACACAGCUGUUGUAAUCAACAGCUGUGCAGUGGCUCAUCCCCAGUUCUUCAACACAAAUCCGAACUUAAGUCAAUUCCUUGGCCCAUGAGGGAAGGAAAAGCAGUACAGUCCUAAGAGUGCAACCUUACAACCGUUGCAUCUUUUUCGGAAGCCGGCUAAAAUUACUCAAAACUUAAACUUUAAAAGUUAACUUUUUAUUUGGCAAAAAAUUAGUUUCAUUUCCACAAUUAGCAUACAAAACAUCAAUAUACUAAAUUUUAAAAUAAUUGGAACAAAAUUUUAAAAAAUAGAAAACAGUAAAGAUCCUUUAAAUUUUUUGAACUGUCACACUUAGUGUUAAUAUAGUCUUGCCUUUUUUCAAUAUAGAUUUUAAUUUAAAGGAAAAUAGCUUUUAUAGCAUGGAAGUAGUACGGCGGCUGCUAUCCAGGCCGCAUCAAUUUCCGGUGAUCUGCCUUCUACCCUAACCCUGGAAGCACGUCUCCCAAGGUAUGUGGAUAGAAGCACCACUUCUUCAUUUUUCAACGGUGCUGCCGAAGGUAGCCUAGUAGUAGCCGCCUCUCGGAAACGCACCUCUAUUGUUCCAUAUUCUGUUCCUCUGGCAAAAUAUGUAAUUUCUUGCCAGAUUGGUCUUAAUGCUCUUCAAUUUGCGUGGUUGCCAUAAUUCCUAUUUUUCCCUGCUUCUGUUGAAUAUGUUCUAUAGAUUAUUGUUCUUUCCUUUGUUUUAUUUAUUAUCUCUUGAGGAGGGGACACCUUUACAUCGUAUCCCUCUCUACUGAGAAAAUCCUUGUAACACUUCAACAAGUCAAUUUCGUUAUUCUGGCUCCUUGUAACAUCUGCAAAGUUCCUCUUCUUCAUUUGCUCGUCUAUUUAUAAAUUGAUCUUAACAACUCCACCUCAGAAGACGUCAGUUCCGAGGAGGUGAGGUCCUCGUAUUGCAUCAUACUUGAUUAACCCUCCUCUUCGAAGAGGGAAAGCGUCAACAGUCUGCCGCAAGGCAGCAAAACAAAUUAACAAAGUGUUCAAAGAAAACGAAACAAGUAAUAAACAGCAAAGUAUAACUCACGAUAGACAGACAUAAAAAAAACUCGAACCUCAACUAGAACUUUCUUUAUUUGGCACUUAGGCCAUAACACAGAGGGGGACACAAGGACAGACAAAGUAAUACAGUACGUGGGGUACAAAGAAUGAAUGGAAUGAAUUACUUACAAUGAGGUGAUGAAAUGGCUUACGAGUCCCCCAAAACUCGCAGUUUCAUUAAACAGUUCUCUCAUACAGUUAAUAAUCAGGUUUCUUCUUUAGCAAUUGUAAGUGGCCACAGCACCUCUA